CUAAGACCAAUGAGAUGUGUCUUAGAAUUUGCUCUAGAAGUAAAGAUGUUGUGGAGCCUAUCAUAAAGCCUGAGCGGUACAUUAAAUGCAGCGAUAUGGGAAAUGAAGCUCUCAAUGCUGUCGCUGAUGAUGAAAAUAGGAAGCUGGAGAUUAUCCCAAGACAGUAUACUGCUGAAUGGAAGAGAUGACUUCGUAACAUUAGUGAUUGGUGUGUCUCGAGGCAACUUUGGUGGAGUCACCGUGUUCUGGCACGGUAUGUUGUUUUUUAGGGUGAUAACAACGAAGAAUUUGGAAAAAAAUUUGAGCGAUGGGUGGUUGCAGGAAGUGAGGAAGAGGCUCAAGCAUUGGCUGAUCAAAAAUAUGAGGGAAAGAAGUUUCGAUUAGAACAGGACUCAGAUGUGCUUGACAGGUGGUUUUCGUCUGGUCUUUUCCCAUUGUCGGUAUUGGGCUGGCCGGAUUAAGAACUUUUUAUCCAAAUUCAGUUGUUGAAACUAGGCACGAUAUUCUGUUUUUCUGGGUUGCUGAUCGUAUGGUGAUGCUUGGAAAUAUAUUGGGCGAUAAUGUUCCCUUUACUAAGAUGAUUGCCCCUCAACCACAGAAGUAGUCCCACACUAGCCCCCUUAUUCAAAGACUUUUUCACCGUGAAUUUUGUUUUUCGGCAAAGCAUGUGAAGAUGUUUGGGGA